rnacentral:rRNA from 1 species
UACGGAGGGUGCAAGCGUUAAUCGGAAUUACUGGGCGUAAAGCGCACGCAGGUGGCUGAGUCAGUCGAUUGUGAAAGCCCUGGGCUUAACCUGGGAAUUGCAGUCGAUACUACUCAGCUAGAGUAUGGGAGAGGGAUGCGGAAUUCCAGGUGUAGCGGUGAAAUGCGUAGAUAUCUGGAGGAACACCGGUGGCGAAGGCGGCAUCCUGGACCGGUAUUGACGCGUGAGGCGCGAAAGCCAGGGGAGCAAAGCGGGAUUAAGAUGACCCGGGUA